rnacentral:rRNA from 1 species
CUUGGGUCGUAAACCUCUUUUCUCAGGGAAGAACACAAUGACGGUACCUGAGGAAUAAGCAUCGGCUAACUCCGUGCCAGCAGCCGCGGUAAUACGGAGGAUGCAAGCGUUAUCCGGAAUGAUUGGGCGUAAAGCGUCCGCAGGUGGCUAUGUAAGUCUGCUGUUAAAGAGUCUAGCUCAACUAGAUAAGAGCAGUGGAAACUACAAGGCUAGAGUACGUUCGGGGCAGAGGGAAUUCCUGGUGUAGCGGUGAAAUGCGUAGAGAUCAGGAAGAACACCAGUGGCGAAGGCGCUCUGCUAGGCCGUAACUGACACUGAGGGACGAAAGCUAGGGG